GACGUAGGAGGCGAGCGUUGUCCGGAUUCAUUGGGCGUAAAGAGCGCGCAGGCGGCUUGUUAAGUCGGAUGUGAAAUCCCGAGGCUCAACCUCGGGUCUGCAUCCGAUACUGCCCGGCUAGAGGUAGGUAGGGGAGAUCGGAAUUCCUGGUGUAGCGGUGAAAUGCGCAGAUAUCGGGAGGAACACCGGUGGCGAAGGCGGAUCUCUGGGCCUUACCUGACGCUCAGGCGCGAAAGCUAGGGGAGCGAACUGG
rnacentral:rRNA from 1 species